CCAAAUUAUAAAUCCCUAAUAGUUAAGUGAAGUUUCACGUCACUAGUGUGCCCAGCACAGAGAGGUGUGUGUGGUGCCCGUGGGUGUGUGCUUGUAUUGUGUAGAUGUUCUGGAAUCACUGCUCUAGAGAAGAUGCACAUUAAUAGAGUCACCACUUAGUAAUAGGUACCCAGGGUUGAUCAUUAUAUCAAAGCAUGAUUCAGGAAAGUAGAUGAUUUACUAUAAGUAUUAAUUAAGCACGGUUAUGUGUAAGGCUAUGUUCCUAGGCACAGUGAGGGAUAUAGAAAUGAAAAAAGGCUUGGUGUCUGUGCUCAAGAAACGUGCAACAUGGUGAACGAACUAUUGCAGCAAAAGAUAAUGCCAAUUACAUUCAUGUCCGUUAUGGAACAUUAUUUGUUCAUUAAUGAAAGAGCCACCUUCUCUUGCAGAAGAGUUUUUCUCAAUGCCUAAAAUCAUAUUCUCUACCUCCGUCUCUUAAACUUCCCCAGUGGCCAGAAAGGCUCAGGAACCAUUCCUUCUCCAGGUGGAAUAAUCCAAUUCUGUCUGUCAUGUCUGGGAUCAUGCCGAGGUGGAAUUUGGGUCCCCUUACCUAUUCUCAGUUGUAAGUGGGCAUUUGGACUUGUAUUAAAUUAACUGAAUGAACUUUGCUUCUAUAGAAGGAGACAGUCCUGCCCACCAUCUUAGACCAAGGCUGUUUGUAUUUUGUCUUUUUUCAGGUGGACAUGAAAGUCAAAAGUGAAGUCACACUCUGAUUACU
rnacentral:lncRNA from 1 species